rnacentral:rRNA from 1 species
GAUUAAGUUAUUAAGGGCGCACGGUGGAUGCCUUGGCACUAGAAGCCGAUGAAGGACGUUACUAACGACGAUAUGCUUUGGGUAGCUGUAAGUAAGCGUUGAUCCAGAGAUUUCCGAAUGGGGGAACCCAACAUGAGUGAUGUCAUGUUAUUGACAUGUGAAUUCAUAGCAUGUCAGAAGGCAGACCCGGAGAACUGAAACAUCUUAGUACCCGGAGGAAAAGAAAGAAAAAUCGAUUCCCUGAGUAGCGGCGAGCGAAACGGGAAGAGCCCAAACCAACAAGCUUGCUUGUUGGGGUUGUAGGACACUCUAUACGGAGUUACAAAAGAACAUGUUAGACGAAUCAUCUGGAAAGAUGAAUCAAAGAAGGUAAUAAUCCUGUAGUCGAAAACGUAUUCUCUCUUGAGUGGAUCCUGAGUACGACGGAGCACGUGAAAUUCCGUCGGAAUCUGGGAGGACCAUCUCCUAAGGCUAAAUACUCUCUAGUGACCGAUAGUGAACCAGUACCGUGAGGGAAAGGUGAAAAGUACCCCGAAAGGGGAGUGAAAGAGAACUUGAAACCGUGUGCUUACAAGUAGUCAGAGCCCGUUAAUGGGUGAUGGCGUGCCUUUUGUAGAAUGAACCGGCGAGUUACGAUCUGAUGCAAGGUUAAGCAGCGAAUGUGGAGCCGUAGCGAAAGCGAGUCUGAAUAG